CUUUGGUUCUAUUUUGUUGGUUUCUAGGACCGAAGUAAUGAUUAAUAGGGAUAGUUGGGGGCAUUAGUAUUUAAUUGUCAGAGGUGAAAUUCUUGGAUUUAUUAAAGACUAACUUCUGCGAAAGCAUUUGCCAAGGAUGUUUUCAUUAAUCAAGAACGAAAGUUAGGGGAUCGAAGACGAUCAGAUACCGUCGUAGUCUUAACCAUAAACUAUGCCGACUAGGGAUCAGGCAAGGAUAUUUUGACUUGUUUGGCACCUUAUGAGAAAUCAAAGUUUUUGGGUUCCGGGGGGAGUAUGGUCGCAAGGCUGAAACUUAAAGGAAUUGACGGAAGGGCACCACCAGGAGUGGAGCCUGCGGCUUAAUUUGACUCAACACGGGGAAACUCACCA
rnacentral:rRNA from 1 species